rnacentral:rRNA from 1 species
UACGUAGGUGGCAAGCGUUGUCCGGAAUUAUUGGGCGUAAAGCGCGCGCAGGCGGUUUCUUAAGUCUGAUGUGAAAGCCCACGGCUCAACCGUGGAGGGUCAUUGGAAACUGGGGAACUUGAGUGCAGAAGAGAAAAGCGGAAUUCCACGUGUAACGGUGAAAUGCGUAGAGAUGUGGAGGAACACCAGUGGCGAAGGCGGCUUUUUGGUCUGUAACUGACGCUGAGGCGCGAAAGCGUGGGGAGCAAACAGG